AGGUGGAGCCUGCGGUUUAAUCGGACUCAACGCCGGGAAACUCACCAGAUAAGACAGCUGAAUGAUAGUCGGGCUGAAGACUCUACUUGACUAGCUGAGAGGAGGUGCAUGGCCGUCGUCAGUUCGUACUGUGAAGCAUCCUGUUAAGUCAGGCAACGAGCGAGACCCACGCCAACAGUUGCCAGCUCGUCCUCCGGGAUGGUGGGGACACUGUUGGGACCGCCUCUGCUAAAGAGGAGGAAGGAAUGGGCAACGGUAGGUCAGCAUGCCCCGAAUUAUCUGGGCUACACGCGGGCUACAAUGGGUGGGACAAUGGGUAUCGACACCGAAAGGUGAAGGCAAUCUCCUAAACCCAUCCGUAGUUCGGAUUGUGGGCUGCAACUCGCCCACAUGAAGCUGGAAUCCGUAGUAAUCGCGUUUCAACAGAACGCGGUGAAUACGUCCCUGCUCCUU
rnacentral:rRNA from 1 species